rnacentral:rRNA from 1 species
AAUGAACGUUGGCGGCGUGGAUUAGGCAUGCAAGUCGUACGGGUCGGUGUAGCAAUACAACGGCAAGUGGCGAAAGGGAGAGUAACACGUAGAUACCUACCCUCUGGUCGGGGAUACCGCGGCAUAACCGCAAGUAAUACCCGAUAAAAUCUCCGGAUCAAAGGUGUAAUUCCGCCGGAGGAGGGUCUGCGUUCUAUCAGCUUGUUGGUGAGGUAAUGGCUCUCCAAGGCUAAGACGGAUACGGGGUGUGAGAGCAUGCCCCCGCUCACUGGGACUGAGACACUGCCCAGACACCUACGGGUGGCUGCAGUCGAGAAUCUUCGGCAAUGGGCGCAAGCCUGACCGAGCGACGCCGCGUGCGGGAUGAAGGCCUUCGGGUUGUAAACCGCUGUCGAGGGGAAUGAAGUGUAGGUGGGUACUCCCAUCUAUUUGACAGAUCCCUGGAGGAAGCAUGGGCUAAGUUCGUGCCAGCAGCCGCGGUAAGAC